rnacentral:tRNA from 1 species
UCCCCGGUAGCUCAGUUGGCAGAGCGGGUGGCUGUUAACCACUAGGUCGCUGGUUCGAGUCCGGCCCGGGGAGCCA